GAGGCUCGGGUUUCAUUCAAGCCGUCUUUUCUUCCUAUUGGUAAUAAGAAAAUUCUGACUUGAUUGAUUCCCGAGUCAG
rnacentral:pre_miRNA from 1 species